GAUGAACGCUGGCGGCGUGCUUAACACAUGCAAGUCGAGCGGGAAACUUCGGUUUCCAGCGGCGGACGGGUGAGUAACACGUGGGCAACCUGCCUCACAAUGAGGGAUAGCCCUCCGAAAGGAGGAUUAAUACCUCAUAACACAAGAGAAACGCAUGUUUCUUUUGCCAAAGAAUUUCGUUGUGAGAUGGGCCCGCGGCGCAUUAGCUUGUUGGUGAGGUAACGGCUCACCAAGGCUGCGAUGCGUAGCCGACCUGAGAGGGUGAUCGGCCACAUUGGAACUGAGACACGGUCCAGACUCCUACGGGAGGCAGCAGUGGGGAAUAUUGCACAAUGGAGGAAACUCUGAUGCAGCAACGCCGCGUGAGUGAUGAAGGUCUUCGGAUUGUAAAGCUCUGUCUUCUGGGACGAUAAUGACGGUACCAGAGGAGGAAGCCACGGCUAACUACGUGCCAGCAGCCGCCGUAA
rnacentral:rRNA from 1 species